AGAGUUUGAUCCUGGCUCAGGACGAACGCUGGCGGCGUGCUUAACACAUGCAAGUCGAACGAACCGCGGAGGGCUUGCUCUCCAAGGUUAGUGGCGGACGGGUGCGUAACACGUGAGCAAUCUGCCCUCGGGUGGGGGAUAGCCGGCCCAACGGCCGGGUAAUACCGCGUACAGCCUCAGACUCGCAUGGGUUCGAGGUGAAAGCGGCCGCAAGGUCGCGCCUGGGGAGGAGCUCGCGGCGUAUCAGCUUGUUGGUGGGGUAACGGCCUACCAAGGCUACGACGCGUAGCUGGUCUGAGAGGACGAUCAGCCACAUUGGGACUGAGAUACGGCCCAGACUCCUACGGGAGGCAGCAGUGGGGAAUAUUGCGCAAUGGCCGAAAGGCUGACGCAGCGACGCCGUGUGUGGGAUGAAGGCUUUCGGGUUGUAAACCACUGUCGGGAGGGACGAAUACUCGGCUUCGAAUAGUUGACCGAGGGUGACGGUACCUCCAAAGGAAGCACCGGCUAACUCCGUGCCAGCAGCCGCGGUAACACGGAGGGUGCGAGCGUUGUUCGGAAUCACUGGGCGUAAAGCGCGCGUAGGCGGCUGUGUAAGUCAUCUGUGAAAACUCGGGGCUCAACCCCGAGACUGCAGGUGAGACUGCAUAGCUAGAGCUCGGUAGAGGCAAGUGGAAUUCCCGGUGUAGCGGUGGAAUGCGUAGAUAUCGGGAAGAACACCAGUGGCGAAGGCGGCUUGCUGGGCCGAUGCUGACGCUGAGGCGCGAAAGCGUGGGGAGCAAACAGGAUUAGAUACCCUGGUAGUCCACGCCGUAAACGAUGGGCACUAGGCGUCGGGGGGAACGACCCCUUCGGUGCCGUCGCUAACGCAAUAAGUGCCCCGCCUGGGGAGUACGGCCGCAAGGCUGAAACUCAAAGGAAUUGACGGGGGCCCGCACAAGCGGUGGAGCAUGUGGUUUAAUU
rnacentral:rRNA from 1 species